rnacentral:rRNA from 1 species
GAUGAACGCUGGCGGCGUGCCUAAUACAUGCAAGUCGAGCGAACAGAUAAGGCGCUUGCUCCUUUGACGUUAGCGGCGGACGGGUGAGUAACACGUGGGUAACCUACCUAUAAGACUGGGAUAACUUCGGGAAACCGGAGCUAAUACCGGAUAACAUUUGGAACCGCAUGGUUCUAAAGUGAAAGAUGGCUUUGCUAUCACUUCUAGAUGGACCCGGGCCGUAUUAGCUAGUUGGUAAGGUAACGGCUUACCAAGGCGACGAUACGUAGCCGAGCGGAUAGGGGGAUCGGCGACCUGGGAAGGGGAACAGGGUCAAUGGGACUGAGGGAGGGAGCAGUAGGGAAUGGGCGGCAGUGGGCGAAAGCAUGACGGAGUGAGGGGGCGUGUGUGGUGAAGGGGUCCGGCGCGUGAAACCGGGUUAUUGGGUAAGAACAGAUGUGGAAGUAGCUGUACAGGGCGUGACGGUAACUGAUCAGAAAGCAACGGCUAACUACGUG